AUUGAACGCUGGCGGCAGGCCUAACACAUGCAAGUCGAGCGGAUGAAGGGAGCUUGCUCCUGGAUUCAGCGGCGGACGGGUGAGUAAUGCCUAGGAAUCUGCCUGGUAGUGGGGGAUAACGUCCGGAAACGGGCGCUAAUACCGCAUACGUCCUGAGGGAGAAAGUGGGGGAUCUUCGGACCUCACGCUAUCAGAUGAGCCUAGGUCGGAUUAGCUAGUUGGUGGGGUAAAGGCCUACCAAGGCGACGAUCCGUAACUGGUCUGAGAGGAUGAUCAGUCACACUGGAACUGAGACACGGUCCAGACUCCUACGGGAGGCAGCAGUGGGGAAUAUUGGACAAUGGGCGAAAGCCUGAUCCAGCCAUGCCGCGUGUGUGAAGAAGGUCUUCGGAUUGUAAAGCACUUUAAGUUGGGAGGAAGGGCAGUAAGUUAAUACCUUGCUGUUUUGACGUUACCAACAAAAUAAGCACCGGCUAACUUCG
rnacentral:rRNA from 1 species